AGUUCAUACACGUGGGUUUAUAUAAGAUUAAAUAUCCACAUUUUACUAAAGUUUUCUUCAACUACUUACAUAGAACCUCCAGCCCCUUUAGGAUGUCCCCACUUUAUUUCUGGGAAUGCCCCAAGGUUGUUUCACCUGUGCCUCAUUAAUCAGGCUAUUAGCUGUGGUCACUAAGGAAGGUGCAAUGUGCUGUUCUUGUCCUGCACUGCUAGCCCGUGUUGUUUAUUCUGCCUGAGCUGGCUGAGGGUAUCAGUGCAAUCACACCAGCAUGCUAUCUUCUGUGUUCUCAAGGUUAGAUUAUUACUUAUAGUCCUUAUGGUGCUAGAGCCACAUUGUGUAACUGUGAAUUCAUGCAGGAGGUGAAUAAAAUCAUGCCAUCUCUUUGCUGCUUUGCCAUCUGGGCCACAGAACAUCCCAGUUUGCCCCACAUCAUCAGAGCUCCAGCAGCUUCUGCUCUCUCCAUGGGCCUGGGCAGGAGUCUCUGGGUUGAGUAACAUAAGACCGCCAUACUGGGGGGAAGUCCAUGUGGUCAUACGGAGGAGAAGCAGUGCCAGUCAGACCCCAAGUGUUCCAGCCACUUCAGCCCACACACCAUGCAUAUGAGUGAAGUAGUUCUCUUGCAUAUGCGGUUUCAGCAGAUGCCACAUGGUGAAGAAUGGAGGCGCCAGAUAUACAGCCCCAGGUGAGCCAUUCCAACCAUCUCCAGCCUUCAUUACCCUAGACAUUGUGGAACAUGGACAUGGGCUUUCAAAUUCCUGAUCCAUAGAAUCAUAGGCAUAUUAAAAUGCCAUUCUUUCAUGCCACUAAGUUUGGGGCUGUUUUGAUACUUAGCAAUAAACAAUUGGAGCACCUCUUUUUUUUUUUCUUCAAAGAUCCUGCUAAUAAAUACAUGUAGGUCAACCACUGUACUGACAAACCUGAGAUGCCUACACAAGUCAUAUUCUCAGAGAUAAACAUAAUCUAGCUUCUUUCAGGCUAGGCCUCCCCUCCAAAACAUGACAGGUGUCUGUUGAAUGAAGGAGCAAAGGAAGUAAUAAAGGAAGGAUUUAAAGAAGAAAAGGAGGGAAGAAGAAAAUAGGCUCAUGGUUUCAACCAAGAAAAUGUGAGAUGGGGUUUAGGUAGGGUAUCAUUGGCAUAAACCUUCCCAAGAGAUUUCAAAAAGUUCCACCAGCUUCACCACACCAAAGCUUCAAGCAUCCUCUGUUUGAUGCCAGCAUUCGAGCAUGUUGAUAGGGUCACCACCAUGCCCUUCUUCUCUGCCCGUUGGCAUUAACCUGCCCAUUGUCUCCACUUAGGGAAGCUACAGUGAGCUGUUCCUUGAGCAGGGAUAGAUCUCAUCAUCCAGGCACAGGCUGUCUUUGCAGACGAUAUCUGCUGAGGUAGCCUCCAAUGGUGGGGUCUGCCCAAUGUGUGUGAUUCCCACUACGAUGACAUUCAGUCAAGCCACUUCUGCUUUAGGAAUGAGGGAUCCAGUGGUGUUCAGCAGUUUGCAAGACACUGACAGUGAAGACUUGAAGAAAGAAAGACAAGGUCACCCAGGCUGGAGUGCAGUGGUGUUACCAUCGCUCAGUGCAGCCUCGAACUCCUGGAUUCAAGCAAUCCUCCUGCCUUAGCUUCUCAAGUAGCUAGGACUACAGGUGGGCCCCAUUGUGCCUGGCUAACCAAUUUCUUGGGUUUCUAAGUGGUUUCCACAGGAAUAAACUUGUGAAUCUAAGUACCCUUGGGUGUCUCACAUCCUCCCAGUGUUGGAGAACUGGUGUCAUAUGAUGGUUAAAAUGACAUAUGAUGGUUAAACUGGAGGUGGGCUGCUCCUGUUUGAAUAUGUACUCUAGUGCUUAUGUGUUAUAUGGUCAGGGGUAAGAUAAUUAAGAUUUUGAGCCUUGUUUCCCUUCUAAGAAUGGGGUAACAAUUGUGUAUACUUUGUGAUGUUGAAGGAAUUAAAUUAAUUACUGCAUAAACUUACCAGGUUCUAAGUAAGCCAAUGGUAAAUGUCACCUACUACUGUUAUCAUUUAUAACUCUUUCUAUAAGCCUUCAGCUAGCUUGUUUCUUAACUUUGUGUGAAUUUUAUUUUUUACUUUUUGAGGUUUUUUUUCAUGUAGAAUAUACCUACAGAACGGUGCAUAGGUUAUGAGUAUAGCUUGGUGAAUUUUCACAAACCAAUCACAGUCAUAUAUCCUGGCCCAGAACAAGUAAAAGAGCAUCACCAAUGCCACGAAAGCACCUCACUUAUCUCCUGUUCUAGUCACUACUUCCCAAGGGUAACUGCUAUUCUGACAUCUAACACCAAAGAUUAGUUUUUACCUGUUUUUGAAUUUCAUAUAAAUAUAAUCUUCCAGUAUGUACUCUUUUUUUCGUUUCAUACAAUAUUUACUCUUGUAAGCAAAUCAAAGUGACUUUUUUUUUUUUAACGAAAGAAGGUUAGGUUACUGGAUUUUCAAUUAAAUCAAAUCUUUAGAUUUGUAUAUUAGUGAAAUAAUUCAGUAAAAUAAUCAUAUCCAUAGCUAUCCAAAUCUUUCUGGAUAAUCCAUUCUGUUUUCUAGAUAUUAGCACAAUCUUAGGCUCAUAAACAGAGCUCCACAUCAUUUCAUUCCUUUUUGUCAUGUGAUUUAGGUUUUAUUUUAUUCGUAUUUAACCUUUAAGUUCAGGAGUAUGUGUGCAGGUUGGUUAUAUAGGUAAACUUAUGUAAUGGGAGUUUGUUGUACAGAUUAUUUCAUCACCCAGGUAUUAAGUCUAAUACCCCUAUUACUUAUUUUUCCUGAUCUUCUCCCUCCUCCCACCUUCCUCCCUCCAAUAAGGCCCAGUGUGUGCUGUUCCCCUCCAUGUGUCCAUGUGUUCUCAUCAUUUAGCUCCCACUUAAAAGUGAGAACAUGUGGUAUUUGGUUUUUUGUCCCUGUGUUAGUUUGCUAAGGAUCAUGGCCUCCAGCUCCAUCCAUGUUUCUGCAAAGCACACGAUAUUCUUUUUUAUAGCUGCAUAGUAUUCCACGGUGUAUAUGUACCACAUUUUCUUCAUCCAGUGUUAAAUCAAGUUUAGCCUAAAGCUGCCUCCUUACAUAUUUAAGUUCAGCCUAAAGGUUUUUCUGUACAUCAUGAACUAUAACAAGUGGAGGUGUAAAUCGAUUGUAGCCCAUACCUGUGGCAAUCCUGAGUUUUGGCCAAUCAGAUGUAUCCAACAGUUCGAAUUGUGUUCAAAUAAGGCAAACAGUGAGCUAUAGCCAAUCCAGUUGUUUCUGUACUUCACUUCCAUUUUCUGUACAUUGCUGUCCUUUUGCUGUCUAUAAAUCUUGUUCCUGGCCAGGCACAGUGGCUCACGCCUGUAAUCCCAGCACUUUGGGAGGCCAAGGCAGGUGGAUCACCUAAGGUCAAGAGUUUGAGACCAGCCUGGCUAACAUGGUGAAACCCUGUCUCUACUAAAAAUACAAAAAAUUAGCCAGACGUGGUGGCGCAAACCUGUAAUCCCAGCUACUAGGGAGAAUCGCUUGAACCCGGGAGGCAGAGGUUGCAAUGACCCAAGAUCGCGCCACUGCACUCCAGCCUGGGCAAGAGGGCAACACUCUGUCUGAAAAAAAAAAAAGAAAGAAAGAAAGAAGAAAGAAAGAAAGAACGAACGAACAUGGUAAUUAACAAAAAUUUGUUUUGAGCCCCUACAUGUCCGCUUCCUAGCUAUAUGACAUAGCCAGUCUUUUUACUUCUCUGAGCCUCAUUCCUUGUCUUUUAAAAUGAGGCCAAUAAUAUCCCCAGGGAAUUCAAAGCCCUUGUUUCCAGGAAUGCUGUGUGGGCAUUUGUGAACUCCUACUCCAUCCUGUUUUCAAGUCCAUUUUCUCCCUGUGUGCUAGAACUUACUCAUCUGCUGGAGCUGAGCACCAAUAACAAAUUGUAAUCAUUAGGUCAAGGUAGUAAUUUUUGUGGUUUGAACUUCAGGGCUUAAUGGGUCAUGCUGCUUUCACAACAGGACUUUUCAAUACAAGAUUACAACACAGAGGGGUGGCAUAGGGUUUGUUUUCCUCCUGUUUACUAAAUUAAGAAGUAAAAAAAGAACCUGGUGAUAAUUUUAAACUGUAUACAUAUUUUAGUACACCUAACUCCAUCUCAUUUGUUGGCCAAGUGUGAUUUCCCAACCAUGAAAAAGCAAAAUUCAACUCAUGGGGAAAAGACCAUCAGAAGGACUUAACAAGAUGAACCUCAAGUGGUGGGAUUUGGGAAAAAAUUAAUCUGGUUACAGGAAUUUCCUGUUGGCUCUGCAGUUGACAUUGGUUCCAGCCAUUGCUACGGUUGCAGGAUGAGUUUAGUCAAUGGAAUAAACUGACCCACGUUUAACUUAGAAGUCUCAUUACUUCUUUUCCUUAGUGUCCACAAUAGCAACUAGCUGAUUCACAUAUCUGGUAAACCAGUUUCUCCCAAUAUAUAUACUCAACUCUCCAAAGCAACAACAACAUGUCUUUUUUUUUUUUUUUUUUUUUUUUUUUUGAGAUGAAGUCUUCCUCUGUCACCCAGGCUGUAGUACAAUGGCACAAUCUCAGCUCACCGCAAACCUUCGCCUUCCAGGUUCUAGCAAUUUUCCUGUGUCAGCCUCCCUGAGCAGCUGGGAUUACAGGCACCCACCACCACGCCCGCCUAAUUUUUGUAUUUU
rnacentral:lncRNA from 10 species